rnacentral:sRNA from 1 species
AGAAAAGAAGAUCGAGAAGUUUCGUUCACGAGGAAGACGAUGGAAAGAGAAGCGACAGGCUAAAAAAGUUUCAAAGGAUUUUUUGGUUUUUCU